rnacentral:rRNA from 1 species
CGUAACGCGUAUGCAACCUACCUUGAACAGGGGGAUAGCCCGAAGAAAUUCGGAUUAAUACCGCAUAAGAUAACGGGGUGAGCAUUCACUUGUUAUUAAAGAUUUAUUGGUUCAAGAUGGGCAUGCGUGCCAUUAGCUAGUUGGUGAGGUAACGGCUCACCAAGGCUACGAUGGCUAGGGGAUCUGAGAGGAUGACCCCCCACACUGGUACUGAGACACGGACCAG